GCUCAUUGUUGAUAAAGUUAUGUUUUUAAGACUUAUAUUCUCUCACAUAUAAAACAUUAAAACCUCACUUUCUUAUUUUAUUUAAUAAGAUACUCUAGAAAUUUCCCACUCUCUUCCUCACUUACCGCCAUGGAUAUAACUCCUCCAAUUUCCUCCUAGCUUGUAAAAUCCUCUCUUUGCUUGAAUUAAUAAACAAAUUUCACAUAAUUAGUGGUUCCUUACUUCAAUUUUGGGAAAUUCUCCCAAAAUUGACGCUUUGGGUUAAUUUGGUGCGCCGACCAUCGGGUGACGUCGGCUCAGAAAUCUUAUACGGUCUUCCUUGGUCUCUCUUCUUAAUCAUCAAUUCAUUUCUUCCUUCGGUUUAUCUUUGUGUCAUUCCCAGUGGGAUUCCAACCAAAUUUAUAAUAUCUACUUUGCGGUGCAUUUGGAUAAGGAAUGGGCAGCUGAACACUGUUCUGCCCCUUUUCGUGCUCCUGAGUUGUGGGAUUGUCCAAGUUAGUGCAAUAUCGAUGAAAGAACUGAUAUAUGGUCACUAGGAUGCACAUUGUACGCAAUAAUGUAUGGUGUCUCGCCCUUCGAGUAUGCGUUGGGAGAAUCUGGUGGAAGCCUACAAUUGGCCAUUGUAAAUGUUCAGAUAAAAUGGCCAGCCGGACCAAAGCCGCUAUAUCCUGAUACACUUCACCAGUUUGUGACAUGGAUGCUUCAGCCUCAAGCUGCUGUUCGACCACACAUUGAUGAUAUCAUCAUUCAUGUUGACAAGUUGAUAUCCAAGUACUCUGAUUAGCUCCAAACAUCUAUUGGCGGCCGUCAAACUCAAACUUGUAUGCACAGGUGUAUCUUGAAGGAUUUUUAUACAAAUUAUUCAGGUCAUAGACACACAUUACAGUUUAGUAAAUUCUGUGUUUGACAAAGGGUUAUCAAUUGCGCUUAUUUACUUUGUCUAAUACUUCGUGUAAGUUAGUAUUUAUAUAGAUAAUUUUUUUGGCGAUAGAUGUUUUUGUGUAGUAGAUUCAGUGUCAUUCGUAAACGUUAUGUUUUGUUUUACUAGUACUAGUCUGUUAGAGUAUACUGAAGUUUAUAUAGUAGUAAAAGGUAUUGCUUGGACAAUGGCAUCA